GGCACUUAUCCACACGUGCUGGCAUGUUUCUCAAGCAGCAUAGUCCAGUACUCAAGCUACAUACACAUUCAUUAUGUAGGAUCCAGCUGCUCAACCAUCACAAUACCGGCUGGCCUAAGGAAAGAAUGUUUAGAAGUGGUUGAGUUGGGGGCUCAUGGAGAAGACUGAAAGAUGAAAUCAGAGGGAAAAAAGAACUUAGUGAUAUUACGGGCAAAGUCUAUAUGGAGUGAUAUCAUUGGGAACACACUGGAAAUUUCACCUGGUCAUAAUUUGAACAAGCAGCAUGUUUUUCCACCCUAGAACACUUGAACAAAUAAGCCAGAUAACAAAGAAGUAAUCCUGGACUGGA